UACGAAGGGUGCAAACGUUGCUCGGAAUUAUUGGGCGUAAAGCGCACGUAGGCGGCAUUGCAAGUCGGAUGUGAAAUCCCUCGGCUUAACCGGGGAACUGCGUCUGAUACUGGAUGGCUUGAGUUUGGGAGAGGGAUGCGGAAUUCCAGGUGUAGCGGUGAAAUGCGUAGAUAUCUGGAGGAACACCGGUGGCGAAGGCGGCAUCCUGGACCAACACUGACACUGAGGAGCGAAAGCCAGGGGAGCAAACGGG
rnacentral:rRNA from 1 species